AUUGAACGCUGGCGGCAGGCCUAACACAUGCAAGUCGAGCGGUUGAAGGGGGCUUGCUCCUGGAUUCAGCGGCGGACGGGGGAGUAAUGCCUAGGAAUCUGCCUGGUAGUGGGGGAUAACGUCGGGCAACGGGCGCUAAUACCGCAUACUUCCUGAGGGAGAAAGUGGGGGGUCUUCGGACCUGAGGCUAUCAGAUGAGCCUAGGUCGGGUUGGCUAGUUGGUGGGUUGAAGGCCUACCAAGGUGACGAUCCGUAACUGGUCUGAGAGGAUGAACAGUCACCCGGGCACUUAGAGACGGUCCAAACGCCCACGGGAGGCCGGAGGGGGGAAUAUUGGACAAUGGGCCAAAGCCUGAUCCAGCCAUGCCGCGUGUGUGCAGAAGGUCUUCGGAUUUUAAAGCACUUUAAGUUGGGAGGACGGGCAGUAAGUUAAUACCUUGCUGUUUUGACGUUACCAACAGAAUAAGCACCGGCUAACUUCGUG
rnacentral:rRNA from 1 species